UCCUGGGUGGCUCAGUCGGUUAAGCUUCUGACUUUGACUCAGGUCAUGAUCUCAUGGUCCGUGGGUUCGAGCCCCACGUCGGGCU
rnacentral:tRNA from 1 species